UCCUACGGGUGGCAGCAGUGGGGAAUCUUAGACAAUGGGGGAAACCCUGAUCUAGCCAUGCCGCGUGAGCGAUGAAGGCCUUAGGGUUGUAAAGCUCUUUCAGCUGGGAAGAUAAUGACGGUACCAGCAGAAGAAGCCCCGGCUAACUCCGUGCCAGCAGCCGCGGUAAUACGGAGGGGGCUAGCGUUGUUCGGAAUUACUGGGCGUAAAGCGCACGUAGGCGGAUGUUCAAGUCGGGGGUGAAAUCCCGGGGCUCAACCCCGGAACUGCCUUCGAUACUGGACGUCUGGAGUUCGGGAGAGGUGAGUGGAAUUCCGAGUGUAGAGGUGAAAUUCGUAGAUAUUCGGAGGAACACCAGUGGCGAAGGCGGCUCACUGGCCCGAUACUGACGCUGAGGUGCGAAAGCGUGGGGAGCAAACAGGAUUAGAUACCCUUGUAGUC
rnacentral:rRNA from 1 species